UGGAUUUCAGUUUCGUUCUGGCCUCAGUCGUGUGUAAGUCUAAUUAAAAAUAUUUAAUCUGGUGUUCAGCGAAUUUUUGUGAUGGUUUUAUAUUUAUUUAAAUAUCUUCUAUAAUACUUAUAUAAAGAGAAAAUUCAUCGAUCUAGUUUUCUUUUUCCUGCGGUGUCAUCACCUAAGAAACUUCCAAUAUCUUAAUUUUUUCUUCUACCCUUAUGAGAUCUGAUACUUUUGAGUUCUGAUACAAUUUUGAGUUCUAUUAUAGAACAAGUUCCUUUUUAAUUCCGUUGCUGUUUUCAAGAAUCGGAGAUAGCCUUGCUGUUUCUUAUUUUUAUUUUAUUUUUCUUACAUACAAUGGGUUCUUUGUAGUCCUCCAAAUUCAAAGACCUUCGGUUUCGUUCUCGUUCUCUUAUUUUUUCUUAUGUUAUAAUGGUUAAGGUUUUCCUCAAGCUCAAAUGUUCCUGCGCUUCUCUUCCUGCUGUUCUUAGUCCACUUCUCCACUUUUCGGGUGUCAGCUUGCGGUGCUAUGGCUUCUUCAUGUUUCCCCAUGUUACAGCUCUCGCCUUUCUUCUAUUUUUUGGAAUUUCAUAAAUGGCUCCUUGACGGGUUCUUGGGCUCUGUUAUAAUUGUGUAUUAACUGCCUUUUUUUAUAAUUAAUAAUUUAUAAAUAUUCAAAGAUUUCGAUAUGGACAUUUUAAUUUGAAAAAAUACAAUAAACCUCUUUUUUUAAAUUAAGGAAAUAAAGAGAACG